CAGUUUGUCAUCGCAACUCCUCUCAAACCACACAACAGAAUUUCACGAAACCUUUUCAGAUAAAAGGACAUACUAUGUAGUUGUGGCAUAUCGAUGGGAAAUUGCGAUUCAAUUUUUUUCUAGGAGUUACGCCCUUUGAACUUAUUUACUUUAAUGUACUACUGCAACAGUUUGUCAUCGCAACUCCUCUCAAACCACACAACAGAAUUUCACGAAACCUUUUCAGAUAAUAAGGACAUACUACGUAGUUGUGCAUAUCGACGGGAAAUUGCGAUUCAAUUUUUUUUCUAGGAGUUACGCCCCUUUGAACUUAUUUACUUUAAUGUACUACUGCAACAGUUUGUCAUUGCAACUCCUCUCAAACCACACAACAGAAUUUCACGAAACCUUUUCAGAUAAUAAGGACAUACUAUGUAGUUGUGCAUAUCGACAGGAAAUUACGAUUCAAUUUUUUUUCUAGGAGUUAUGCCCCUUUGAACUUAUUUACUUUAAUGUACUACUGCAACAGUUUGUCAUCGCAACUCCUCUCAAACCACACAACAGAAUUUCACGAAACCUUUUCAGAUAAUGAGGACAUACUAUGUAGUUGUGCAUAUCGACGGGAAAUUGCUAUUCAAUUUUUUUUCUAGGAGUUAUGCCCCUUUGAACUUAUUUACUUUAAUGUACUACUGCAACAGUUUGUCAUCGCAACUCCUCUCAAACCACACAACAGAAUUUCACGAAACCUUUUCAGAUAAUAAGAACAUACUACGUAGUUGUGCAUAUCGACGGGAAAUUGCGAUUCAAUUUUUUUCUAGGAGUUACGCCCCU
rnacentral:lncRNA from 1 species